UUUUCUUUCUUUUCUUUUUACACAACACUCCUCUCUCAUAACUCCCUUACUCUCCAAUCGGUACCACUCCUCACCUCUUCCACCACCAUCUUUCUGGCAAGAUCACCGGAAAACUCCAUAGGAAAACGGUAAGGCUCACUCACCUCUACUAUUUGAAGUUCUAGCUAAUUUCAUUUGGAGCUUGGAAAAUUAGGCUUUUACGGGUUACGAGAGUAGGCAACUAUCUUUUUUAGACAACUUUUUGGUGGCUAGACGUAGUUAAACUAAUUGCUGAUGGAGACUGACUUUUGUGAUGGAGAUAAUUGAUGAUGUAUAGCUUAGAGUAGACUUGACCCAAUUCUUUUGUAUCUAAUAGUGGUUAUGCCUUUAUUUCCACUAAUGGAACAAGUCGAUGUUAUGUAAUUAUUUAUUCAGACCUCCAUUCUUUUGUGACCAAUGAUCAUUAUAUUUAUUGCAUAGAGCUCUGACUUACUUUGGGAGUAUA